rnacentral:rRNA from 1 species
CGGUAUAACAGCCGCCGUUUAUUAAACGUUAGUUAUCUACUCGGAUAACUGUGGCAAUUCUAGAGCUAAUACGUGCACGAAGUCUCGGACCUUUUGGAAAGAGCGCAUUUAUUAGACCAAAACCAAUCAAGUUUCGGCUUGUGUUUUGGUGACUCUGAAUAACUUAGUUGAUCGCACAGUCUUAGUACUGGCGACGUAUUUUUCAAAUGUCUGCCUUAUCAACUUUCGAUGGUAGGUUAUACGCCUACCAUGGUUAUAACGGGUAACGGAGAAUAAGGGUUCGACUCCGGAGAGGGAGCCUGAGAAAUGGCUACCACAUCCAAGGAAGGCAGCAGGCGCGCAAAUUACCCAAUCCCAGAACGGGGAGGUAGUGACGAAAAAUAACGAGGUAGUCCACUUUGUGGCCUGCCAUCGGAAUGGGUACAAUCUAAAUCUUUUAACGAGGAUCUAUUAGAGGGCAAGUCUGGUGCCAGCAGCCGCGGUAAUUCCAGCUCUAAUAGCGUAUAUUAAAGUUGUUGUGGUUAAAACGCCCGUAGUUGGAUUUUCGGUCUUGAAGCUCGGUAGCUCGUAAGGGUUUAACUGAGUCUUCUGGCCUAAAUUUUAGUUUUCUCUUGAUGCUCUUUAUUGAGUGUCUUGAGCAGCUGGAACGUUUACUUUGAAAAAAU